rnacentral:rRNA from 1 species
GACGAACGCUGGCGGCGUGCCUAAUACAUGCAAGUAGAACGCUGAAGGAGGAGCUUGCUUCUCUGGAUGAGUUGCGAACGGGUGAGUAACGCGUAGGUAACCUGCCUGGUAGUGGGGGAUAACUAUUGGAAACGAUAGCUAAUACCGCAUAAUAGCAGUUGUUGCAUGAUAACUGUUUGAAAGGUGCAAUUGCACCGCUACCAGAUGGACCUGCGUUGUAUUAGCUAGUUGGUGGGGUAACGGCUCACCAAGGCGACGAUACAUAGCCGACCUGAGAGGGUGAUCGGCCACACUGGGACUGAGACACGGCCCAGACUCCUACGGGAGGCAGCAGUAGGGAAUCUUCGGCAAUGGACGGAAGUCUGACCGAGCAACGCCGCGUGAGUGAAGAAGGGUUUCGGAUCGCAAAGCUCUGUUGUAAGAGAAGAACGAGUGUGAGAGUGGAAAGUUCACACUGUGACGGUAUCUUACCAGAAAGGGACGGCUAACUACGUG